GACGAACGCUGGCGGCGUGCCUAAUACAUGCAAGUCGAGCGAAUUGAUUUGGAGCUUGCUCCAAUGAUGUUAGCGGCGGACGGGUGAGUAACACGUGGGUAACCUGCCUUAUAGAUUGGGAUAACUUCGGGAAACCGGAGCUAAUACCGAAUAAUACUUUUUGACACAUGUCAGUUGGUUGAAGGACGGCUUCGGCUGUCACUAUAAGAUGGACCCGCGGCGCAUUAGCUAGUUGGUGAGGUAACGGCUCACCAAGGCAACGAUGCGUAGCCGACCUGAGAGGGUGAUCGGCCACACUGGGACUGAGACACGGCCCAGACUCCUACGGGAGGCAGCAGUAGGGAAUCUUCCACAAUGGGCGAAAGCCUGAUGGAGCAACGCCGCGUGAGUGAAGAAGGAUUUCGGUUCGUAAAACUCUGUUGCAAGGGAAGAACAAGUAGCGUAGUAACUGGCGCUACCUUGACGGUACCUUGUUAGAAAGCCACGGCUAACUACGUGCCAGCAGCCGCAGUAA
rnacentral:rRNA from 1 species